GACGAACGCUGGCGGCGUGCCUAAUACAUGCAAGUAGAACGCUGAAGCGAGGAGCUUACUCUUCUUGGAUGAGUUGCGAACGGGUGAGUAACGCGUAGGUAACCUGCCUUGUAGCGGGGGAUAACUAUUGGAAACGAUAGCUAAUACCGCAUAACAAUGGAUGACACAUGUCAUUUAUUUGAAAGGGGCAAUUGCUCCACUACAAGAUGGACCUGCGUUGUAUUAGCUAGUAGGUGAGGUAAUGGCUCACCUAGGCGACGAUACAUAGCCGACCUGAGAGGGUGAUCGGCCAACCUGGGACUGAGACACGGCCCAGACCCCUACGGGAGGCAGCAGUAGGGAAUCUUCGGCAAUGGGGGCAACCCUGACCGAGCAACGCCGCGUGAGUGAAGAAGGGUUUCGGAUCGUAAAGCUCUGUUGUAAGUCAAGAACGGGUGUGAGAGUGGAAAGUUCACACUGUGACGGUAGCUUACCAGAAAGGGACGGCUAACUACGUG
rnacentral:rRNA from 1 species